rnacentral:rRNA from 1 species
UACGUAGGGUGCGAGCGUUACUCGGAAUUACUGGGCGUAAAGCGUGCGCAGGCGGUUUUGUAAGCCCGAUGUGAAAUCCCCGGGCUUAACCUGGGAAUGGCAUUUGGGACUGCAAGGCUUGAGUUUGGCAGAGGAGACUGGAAUUCCUGGUGUAGCAGUGAAAUGCGUAGAUAUCAGGAGGAAUACCGAUGGCGAAGGCAGGUCUCUGGGCUAGAACUGACGCUCAUGCACGAAAGCGUGGGGAGCAAACAGG